rnacentral:tRNA from 1 species
GCCUUCGUGGUGUAGUGGUCAGCACACUCGGCGCGUAUUCGAGAAGUUCGCGGUUCGAUUCCCGGCGAGAGCA